rnacentral:rRNA from 1 species
AUACGUAGGGUGCGAGCGUUGUCCGGAAUUACUGGGCGUAAAGAGCUCGUAGGUGGUUUGUCGCGUCGUCUGUGAAAUUCCGGGGCUUAACUCCGGACGUGCAGGCGAUACGGGCAUAACUUGAGUACUGUAGGGGAGACUGGAAUUCCUGGGGUAGCGGUGAAAUGCGCAGAUAUCAGGAGGAACACCGGUGCCGAAUGCGGGUCUCUGGGCAGUAACUGACGCUGAGGAGCGAAAGCAUGGGUAACGAACAGGAUUAGAUACCCUGGUAGUCCAUGCCGUAAACGGUGGGCGCUAGGUGUAGGGGUCUUCCACGACUUCUGUGCCGUAGCUAACGCAUUAAGCGCCCCGCCUGGGGAGUACGGCCGCAAGGCUAAAACUCAAAGGAAUUGACGGGG